rnacentral:rRNA from 1 species
GAUGAACGCUGGCGGCGUGCCUAAUACAUGCAAGUAGAACGCUGAAGCUUGGCGCUUGCACCGAGCGGAUGAGUUGCGAACGGGUGAGUAACGCGUAGGUAACCUGCCUCUUAGCGGGGGAUAACUAUUGGAAACGAUAGCUAAUACCGCAUAAAAGUCGAUAUCGCAUGAUAUUGAUUUGAAAGGUGCAAAUGCAUCACUAAGAGAUGGACCUGCGUUGUAUUAGCUAGUUGGUGAGGUAACGGCUCACCAGGGCGACGAUACAUAGCCGACCUGAGAGGGUGAUCGGCCACACUGGGACUGAGACACGGCCCAGACUCCUACGGGAGGCAGCAGUAGGGAAUCUUCGGCAAUGGGGGCAACCCUGACCGAGCAACGCCGCGUGAGUGAAGAAGGUUUUCGGAUCGUAAAGCUCUGUUGUAAGAGAAGAACGAGUGUGAGAGUGGAAAGUU